rnacentral:tRNA from 1 species
GGUGGCUUAGUGGUAGAGUACUUGCCUAUCAUGCAUGAGGCCCUGGGUUCGAUUCCUCAGCACCA